GUCAUUACGCCCACCUAACGUAUUAAAUUAUGGCUGCAGCGCUGCAGUAGAUUUCUGUACAUCUCCAAACAUUUACUGCUAGUCAAUAAGUCAGUGAUUAACUAUUGAUAGACUACUCACAAUGGGAAGCGAUAAAGAUAUGACACAUAAGAUUGAUUCAAUGAUUCCUUUAACCGACGUCAGACGAGGCAUAGAUCACUAACUCAAGCCUCCAUUGUGAUAUCCGUGUUGAAGUAUUCAUAUAAUCAUAUUUACGUUUCUGUUUUGAAGAUUAAGCCUCGGUUAAAAAAUCAGAUUGUGUGGUAACCAAUUUAUCAUGCAGAAACCACCGGGAUCGACUACGGUUUUUCAGAGCUUCAUAGUUGUGUUGAUUUGCCUGACAACUUGUGGUAAGUUCUAACGUAUCUCUCAAUAUCAUAUAUACAGUCUGAUAAGGAAUUUGGCGCUAUUUAAUAUUCGUUGGCCAGUUUCACGGACAUAGUUAUAAAAGCGGAAACAAUGCAUGGUUCUAUUUACUAUUGGCAUUAUACAUAUAGCUUUAAUACUUCUAUUUAGAAUAAGAUUGCCUUUUAAAUGUUAGUCUAUAUGAUUUGUUGAUUCAUCAUCCAAAUCUGGUUAUGUUGGUAAUUUAUGUAAUUUAUGCGUGACCAUAUUAGAUGACGUAAAUGGCAGAGUAAACACGAUAAUUGCUUGCUUGUAAUUGCUGCCGAGCGUCAGCGAGGCAGCACACUAUUCUUGACGUUACAUGACGUUCUUGCUUUUUUGUGUCCUGUCCUUCUGGCCGAGUUAUGUAUAGUCGAAAUCUCGAUUUGAAGUAGGGGGAGCUGUCGGUUUUCCGAGGGUUGUUCAACAAAAUUUUGUAUUCAGUGUUAAUAUUUAUCGAGGGUCCUGAAGGGGGGGGGGGGUCCCAUUUCCAUUUCCCACCUGAAAUUUUGGCAAAAUCCCAGUCCCAGUUGGAUUUUUAUUAGAAAUCCCAGUCCGAGUUAUUGAAAUCCCAGUCAAUAAAAAACCCUUUAUUUAUGGGUAGAAUAAACAGUUUUAAGACCUUUUAAGCCACCGUACGCGUGUGUGCAAGUGGCGAACACUUUAUGAAAUAUUGGAGGAGGGGGGUUCGAAAAUUUUUAAAUUUGAAUCCCAGAAAUGGCAUUUGCAGCAUUCUGAGACACGCAUAAUCAGAAAACCCAGAAUUCCGGGCGCCAGAGUAUGCCUGUUCGCAGGUAGUACUGUGAAUAAUAUAGUUAACAACAAAAAUCAUGACCAAAGACACCAAAAACGGAUCAAAAUUGUAUUUUAAAGUACUUAAAAUGUAGA